CAACCGAGCUCCGGUUGCCAUGGCGACGGGGAGGUCUUUAAGGGCCCGGUAGUCUCUACAAACACACUGCACCUGCUCUUUCUCUUGGCCCUCGUGAGGAGACACCUCAGGUGCCAAGGAAGAGUGAAUUGUCACAUCAGAGUGAGAGAACAGAGCAGUGCCCUCAGAGUACCUCAAAGUACCGUCAGUGGCAAGGACCAGAGAAGAACAAAGUGAUAAAUGCACAGAGGAGGAAGAACAAGAGCUUUAGCUACCAAAUAACCUGGACUGGAC